rnacentral:snRNA from 1 species
UUACUCUCCUGGCAGGGGAGACACCAUUAUUAGACAGGUGGUUUUCCUAGGGUGACGCUCAGCCUGUGCACUCCGGGUUUGCUGACCCCUGCGAUUUCCCCAAAUGUGUGAAAUCCAACUGCAUAAUUUGUGAUAGCUAGGGGUGGAAUAAUGGCAAAUCUGAC